rfam:Triticum aestivum genome assembly, contig: Triticum_aestivum_CS42_TGACv1_scaffold_342464_4DL
UCCAUUGCUCAGUUGGUAGAGUACAAGGCUCUUAACCUUGUGGUCAUGGGCUCAAGCCCCACAAUGGAG